GGGUUGUGAGGUUAAGCGACUAAGCGUACACGGUGGAUGCCCUGGCAGUCAGAGGCGAUGAAGGACGUGCUAAUCUGCGAAAAGCGCCGGCGAGGUGAUAUGAACCCUUGACCCGGCGAUGUCCGAAUGGGGAAACCCAGUGUGUUCCGACACACUAUCGUUAACUGAAUACAUAGGUUAACGAGGCGAACCGGGGGAACUGAAACAUCUAAGUACCCCGAGGAAAAGAAAUCAACCGAGAUUCCCCCAGUAGCGGCGAGCGAACGGGGAGCAGCCCGGAGUCUGAAUCAGCUUGUGUGUUAGUGGAACGGUCUGGAAAGUCCGACGGUACAGGGUGAUAGUCCCGUACACGAAAAUGCACUUGCUGUGAACUCGAAGAGUAGGGCGGGACACGUGGUAUCCUGUCUGAAUAUGGGGGGACCAUCCUCCAAGGCUAAAUACUCCUGACUGACCGAUAGUGAACCAGUACCGUGAGGGAAAGGCGAAAAGAACCCCGGCGAGGGGAGUGAAAAAGAACCUGAAACCGUGUACGUACAAGCAGUGGGAGCACCUUCGGGUGUGACUGCGUACCUUUUGUAUAAUGGGUCAGCGACUUAUAUUCUGUAGCAAGGUUAACCGUAUAGGGGAGCCGAAGGGAAACCGAGUCUUAACUGGGCGUUAAGUUGCAGGGUAUAGACCCGAAACC
rnacentral:rRNA from 1 species